CAGCACCUCAAGUGGUCAGGAUGAUUAUUGGGCCUAAAGCAUCCGUAGCCGGCGCUGUAAGUUUUCGGUUAAAUCUGUACGCUCAACGUACAGGCUGCCGGGAAUACUGCAGCGCUAGGGAGUGGGAGAGGUAGACGGUACGCGGUAGGAAGGGGUAAAAUCCUUUGAUCUAUUGAUGACCACCUGUGGCGAAGGCGGUCUACCAGAACACGUCCGACGGUGAGGGAUGAAAGCUGGGGGAGCAAACCGGAUUAGAUACCCGAGUAGUCC
rnacentral:rRNA from 1 species